rnacentral:rRNA from 1 species
UCAAGUUAUUAAGGGUGCAGGGCGGAUGCCUUGGCACUAGGAGCCGAUGAAGGACGUGAUAAGCUGCGAUAAGCUUCGGGGAGUUGCACGUAAACUUUGAUCCGAAGAUUUCCGAAUGAGGAAACUCACUUAGAGUAAUGUCUAAGUAUCAUUAAGUGAAUACAUAGCUUGAUGAGGGGAACUCAGGGAACUGAAACAUCUAAGUACCUGAAGGAAGAGAAAGAAAUUCGAUUCCGUAAGUAGCGGCGAGCGAACGCGGAUUAGCCCAAACCAAUAAAGUUUUCUUUAUUGGGGUUGCGGACAUAUCAUAACGAAGAGGUAUCGUAAUUGAAGAGGUUUGGAAAGACCCACCACAGAAGGUAAUAGUCCUGUAUGUUAAACGAGAAGACUUUAGAUAUGAUCCAGAGUACCACGGGACACGUGAAACCCUGUGGGAAGCAGGAGGGACCACCCUCCAAGGCUAAAUACUACCUAGUGACCGAUAGCGUAUAGUACCGUGAGGGAAAGGUGAAAAGAACCCCGGGAGGGGAGUGAAAUAGAACCUGAAACCCUGCACUUACAAGCUGUGGAAGCACAUUUCUUGUGUGACCGCGUACUUUUUGUAGAACGGGCCAACGAGUUACGUUAAGUAGCAAGGUUAAGCACUUAAGGUGCGGAGCCGUAGCGAAAGCGAGUUUUAACUGAGCGUUCAGUUACUUGACGUAGACCCGAAACCGGGCGACCUACCCAUGAGCAGGAUGAAGCGAAAGUAAAAUUUCGUGGAGGUCCGAACCCACGAGCGUUGAAAAGCUCGGGGAUGACUUGUGGGUAGCGGUGAAAUUCCAAUCGAGCCCGGAGAUAGCUGGUUCUCCCCGAAAUAGCUUUAGGGCUAGCCUCAAGGUGAGAGAUACGGAGGUAGAGCACUGAAUGUCCUAGGGGGUAUUGCACCUACCGAAGACUAUCAAACUCCGAAUGCCGUCAUCUUAUACUUGGGAGUCAGACUGUGGGUGAUAAGAUUCAUAGUCGAAAGGGCAACAGCCCAGAUCGUCAGCUAAGGUCCCUAAAUGUAAGUUAAGUGGUAAAGGAUGUGGGAUUGCACAGACAACCAGGAUGUUGGCUUAGAAGCAGCCACUCAUUCAAAGAGUGCGUAAUAGCUCACUGGUCGAGUGAUCCUGCGCCGAAGAUUUCCGGGGCUAAAACUUACUACCGAAGCUACGGCAUCAGUAAUGAUGGGUAGGGGAGCUUCCCAUACGGGUUGAAGCAUGACCGUAAGGACAUGUGGACAGUAUGGGAGUGAGAAUGUUGGCAUGAGUAGCGAGAUGUGGGUGAGAAUCCCACAGGCCGUAAACCCAAGGUUUCCAGGGGAAGGUUCGUCCGCCCUGGGUUAGUCGGGACCUAAGCUGAGGCCGAAAGGCGUAGGUGAUGGACAACAGGUUGAUAUUCCUGUACUACCGAUAACCAUUUGAGAGAAGGGAUGACACAGUAGGAUAAGCUAAGCACACUGUUGGUUAUGUGUGCCCAAGCAUUGAGGCAGUCAAAGUAGGCAAAUCCGCUUUGAUAAUGCUGGGAUGUGAUGGGGAGCGAAAUUUAGUAGCGAAGUAGCUGAUUUCACACUGUCAAGAAAAGUCUCUAUCGAGGUUAAAGGUACCCGUACCGCAAACCGACACAGGUGGGUGAGGAGAGUAUCCUAAGGCCAGCGAGAGAACUGUUGUUAAGGAACUCGGCAAAAUGACCCCGUAACUUAGGGAUAAGGGGUGCCACCAUCAGGUGGCCGCAGAGAAUAGGCCCAAGCGACUGUUUACCAAAAACAUAGGUUUCUGCUAAGUCGCAAGACGAUGUAUAGGAGCUGACGCCUGCCCGGUGCUGGAAGGUUAAGGGGAUCUGUUAGAGCAAUUGAAGCAGUGAACUUAAGCCCCAGUAAACGGCGGCCGUAACUAUAACGGUCCUAAGGUAGCGAAAUUCCUUGUCGGGUAAGUUCCGACCCGCACGAAAGGCGUAACGAUUUGGGCACUGUCUCAACAACAGACUCGGUGAAAUUGUAAUUCCGGUGAAGAUGCCGGAUACCUGCGACAGGACGGAAAGACCCCAUGGAGCUUUACUGUAGCUUGACAUUGGGUCUUGGUACUACAUGUACAGGAUAGGUGGGAGGCUUUGAAACCAGGACGCCAGUUUUGGCGGAGCCAUCCUUGGGAUACCACCCUUGUAGUACUGGGACUCUAACCAUAGGCCAUGAAUCUGGUCUUGGGACACUGUCAGGUGGGCAGUUUGACUGGGGCGGUCGCCUCCCAAAAGGUAACGGAGGCGCUCAAAGGUUCUCUCAGUACGGUCGGAAAUCGUACGUAGAGUGUAAAGGCAAAAGAGAGCUUGAUUGCAAGACAUACAGGUCGAGCAAGGAUGAAAAUCGGACUUAGUGAUCCGGUGGUUCUGCGUGGAAGGGCCAUCGCUCAACGGAUAAAAGCUACCCUGGGGAUAACAGGCUUAUCUCCCCCAAGAGUCCACAUCGACGGGGAGGUUUGGCACCUCGAUGUCGGCUCAUCACAUCCUGGGGCUGUAGUAGGUCCCAAGGGUUGGGCUGUUCGCCCAUUAAAGUGGUACGCGAGCUGGGUUCAGAACGUCGUGAGACAGUUCGGUCCCUAUCCGUCGCAGGCGUAGGAAAUUUGAGAAGACCUGUCCUUAGUACGAGAGGACCGGGAUGGACGUACCUCUGGUGUACCAGUUGUCCUGCCAAGGGCAUGGCUGGGUAGCUAUGUACGGAAUGGAUAAGCGCUGAAAGCAUCUAAGCGCGAAGCCAACUUCAAGAUAAGAUUUCCCACCGCAAGGGUAAGACCCCAGAAAGACUAUCUGGUUGAUAGGUCGAAGGUGUAAGUGCAGCAAUGUAUUUAGCUUAUCGAUACUAAUAGGUCGAGGACUUGACCAA